GUCGACGGCCAUAGCACCCUGAACGCGCCCCAUCUCUUAUGAUCUCGGAAGCUAAGCAGGGUCGGGCCUGGUUAGUGCUUGGAUGGGAGACCUCCUGGGAAUACCGGGUGCUGUAGGCU
rnacentral:rRNA from 1 species